AUUGAACGCUGGCGGCAGGCCUAACACAUGCAAGUCGAACGAGUGGCGGACGGGUGAGUAAUGUCUGGGAAACUGCCUGAUGGAGGGGGAUAACUACUGGAAACGGUAGCUAAUACCGCAUACCAUCGGAUGUUCCCAGAUGGGAUUAGCUAGUAGGUGGGGUAAAGGCUUACCUAGGCGACGAUCCCUAGCUGGUCUGAGAGGAUGACCAGCCAAACUGGAACUGAGACACGGCCCAGACUCCUACGGGAGGCAGCAGUGGGGAAUAUUGCACAAUGGGCGAAAGCAUGAUGCAGCCAUGCCGCGUGGGGGAAGAAGGCCUUCGAGUUGUAAAGCACUUUCAGCGGGGAGGCGUUACCCGAAGAAGAAGCACCGGCUAACUCCGUGCCAGCAGCCGCGGUAAUAA
rnacentral:rRNA from 1 species